AGCGAGUGGCGAACGGGUGAGUAACGCGUGAGGAACCUGCCUCAAAGAGGGGGACAACAGUUGGAAACGACUGCUAAUACCGCAUAAGCCCACAGCUCGGCAUCGAGCAGAGGGAAAAGGAGUGAUCCGCUUUGAGAUGGCCUCGCGUCCGAUUAGCUGGUUGGUGAGGUAACGGCCCACCAAGGCGACGAUCGGUAGCCGGACUGAGAGGUUGAACGGCCACAUUGGGACUGAGACACGGCCCAGACUCCUACGGGAGGCAGCAGUGGGGAAUAUUGCACAAUGGGGGAAACCCUGAUGCAGCGACGCCGCGUGGAGGAAGAAGGUCUUCGGAUUGUAAACUCCUGUUGUUGAGGAAGAUAAUGACGGUACUCAACAAGGAAGUGACGGCUAACUACGUGCCAGCAGCCGCGGUAAAACGUAGGUCACAAGCGUUGUCCGGAAUUACUGGGUGUAAAGGGAGCGCAGGCGGGAAAGCAAGUUGGAAGUGAAAUCCAUGGGCUCAACCCAUGAACUGCUUUCAAAACUGUUUUUCUUGAGUAGUGCAGAGGUAGGCGGAAUUCCCGGUGUAGCGGUGGAAUGCGUAGAUAUCGGGAGGAACACCAGUGGCGAAGGCGGCCUACUGGGCACCAACUGACGCUGAGGCUCGAAAGUGUGGGUAGCAAACAGGAUUAGAUACCCUGGUAGUCCACACUGUAAACGAUGAUUACUAGGUGUUGGAGGAUUGACCCCUUCAGUGCCGCAGUUAACACAAUAAGUAAUCCACCUGGGGAGUACGACCGCAAGGUUGAAACUCAAAGGAAUUGACGGGGGCCCGCACAAGCAGUGGAGUAUGUGGUUUAAUUCGACGCACCGCGAAGAACCUUACAAGUCUUGACAUCCUGCGACG
rnacentral:rRNA from 1 species